GUCAGCAGGCCGCACACGCGCCGGACCGGGUACCGCUGUGCCCGGCCUGGCCGCGGCCUAGUCCCGGCAGACGGGACUGACGAGGUCACCAAGCCCAGGCCGAGACGGCGCGGGUGUCAGGGACUUGGGAAUCCCCCUCCCCCAGUCCCGAUCCCGCUUUCCUUUGGGGUUUCACCUCAGAGGACCCGACAGCACUCUUGCAGGUGGGAACCUACACAAUAGGAGUAAUGUGGCUCCACCUUCCUCUCGGGACUCGGGACCUGGGGGUGGAGACUUGGAAGUUGCAAAGCUCUCGGUGCCGGGAAUCGGGGCUACGGUUGAGUGGGAUCGGGCCAGGGCUGAGGUGGUCCCACCCGUGUAGGGGCGCGGAGAAACGCCUCGACUGCUUCACUGUACCACCACCCACCCGCCACGGGCCUGGAAGGAGCCGCUAAACAUUCCCGAGCCUCAGUUUCCUUAGCACAAACAGGCUGGUAGUUUCCUGGUGCUUGCCAGAUGCCUGAUGGAUGAGAAAGCCUCCUGCGGCCCCGAAAGGGAGUCCAGAGCAGAGGCGGGCCCGCGGUCCACUUUUACAGGUCUGGACGGACUCACGGGACCACGGUCUGGGUGGGGCAUGCGGAAGGGCCUAGGCCAAAUGGGGAGUAGUGGUGAGGGCCCAGGGUCAGACUGGGGGGUGGAGUGAGGUUGUCUGGGAGUCUUGGCUUUAUGAACCGGAAAACCAGGCUAAUAAUUGAAUCCAAUCCAAGGGAUAUUGUAAGUUGUGAUGUGUUGACUGCAGUGCCGCUCCCUAUAGUUGCGCAGGGUGAGGGGCGUUUGGGUACUGAAAUCCCGCACGGUCUCCUUGCUACGCCCGUGUCUAGGCCAGACAGCCUCUGCUUACCAUAGACACCAGUUUCUCAUCCACAAAGGUGCCCAAGGCCCUGCUUGACACAACAGUGUUACAAGCUGUUAGCUUUGAUGAUUACUUGUUAUAUGGGGGAGUUCAACAAGUUGGUCGGUGUCCUUAGGAAAGUCACCCCUCUUCUUUCCUGUGCCUCCGUUUUCAUUGUCUUUAAAAUGGGUAUAAAGUUGGCUGACAGGUGAAGUUGAAAUGUGCACAGGUAAGGGAGGUAGUGCUGCCCACUGCCAGCAGGGGGCAGCUCAGGCAAGGAAAAGACCCCAGUGCUCUCAGGACCCCCCAACCAGCUACGUGAUCACAUUUUUAUGAUCACAGAUAAGAUGAGCAUAUACUGAGGUCCCUUGCUAGCAGUUUGGCAUGGAGGACCUCAUUUAAUUCUUGCAAAAAUCCUGAGGUAUGAUCACUUUACCCAUUGUACAGAUAGGGAAACUGAGGCUAAGAGGUUCGCCGACUCCUAUAACACCACACAGUUCAGAUAUCCCUGGCCCCAACAUAGAGAUACACACACACAGUCACUCACAUGGAGCAGUCUAUCACUGGAGUCAUAACUCCCCAGCCUUGGCUCUUCCCCAUGGGAAUGCAAAAGGGGUCGGUGAGGAGCAACAGUUACGAAUCAACUGUGUUACAGGUGCUCUCUGUAUAUUCACAACCACCUGGCGAGGUAGUGACUGUUAUCCCCUUUAGCACUGAGGAAACUGAGGCUCUAACAGCUGGCAAAGGCAGAGCUGGGACAAGACCAGGGCUCUGACCUCCUCCACCAAUACCUCUGAAUCCUCCCCAGCAUCUACUGUGGUGCCCUUUGCUGGUCUUUCCUCCUAGGGUCUGAGGUUCCCCACUGGAAAUGGGAUCAGAAUGUUCCCCUGCCUGGUUCCCAACAGGGUCAGAAGAGAGAACUUGGAAGAGUUGGAUUUUGAGUGCUUUGUGUGUUGUGUGUAUGUUGAGGGGAGAGAAGUUGGAAUGCUCCCACACCUCCUGCAGCAUCCCCACCCUCCCCUUCACCCCCACUGCAGCAGUGCCAUGCUCUGGAAGCAAGAAUCUGAUCACACCCUCCUCCUUCUCUCAUCACAUUCGGGUGCCCUCUGUCUUCUCAAUAACCCAGGUCUGAUCUCCCUGGCCGCAACCAGCUGUGUGGCCUUGGUCAGGUCCAUCCCUCCCCUUGGAAUCUGUACUUCCCUAGGCUCUGUCAUCUAUUGGGGACGAUGCCCAGGUCAGGCCUAUACUCAGAGCCUUCUUCUCUUCAUCUCCAGAACAGCCGUCUGCCUGUCUUCCUGGCUCGCUCCCUGCAGGAAUGGUCUGGGGCAACCCCAGCAACACGCCCACCUGUGGCCAGGAUGAAUAGGAAUCCAGUUCAGGCUUGGCUUCCAUGGCAAUCAAGGCCCACCAGGCCCCAGCAACCUUCCCUACCCCCCAUUCCUUUUUGCUGCCCCCCUCCACACCAGGCAUGUUCCCUGCCACACCAUGCUGUUCCCCUCACCUGGGCUGCCCUCCCAACUCCUCUCUGCCUCUGGAGAUGCUCUGCCAUUCAAGACUUGGCUCAGGCUCCAGGUCCUCCCUGGGCCUUCUAGAGCCCCUGGUUCUCACUCCUCUGAACACUUCCAGCCUGGCUAAUAGCCCACUGCAUCCUGGCCUGGGGUACAGGUGGCCAGCACAGGUGUGGGGGCCAGCUUCCAACACAAGCACGGGUAGGUCCCUCUGCAGACCAUGGGCUGCAAGAGGCCCGGCCUUGCCCACUGCAGGGGCCCUGCGCAGGGCUGGGCACGAAGCAGGUGGGUGUCCACCAAUCUAGUAUCCAAAACCCUGCUUGGUUCACCCCCACCUCUGUUGAAGGAAAGCAACACUGUGAUGGAGAGGAGCAGCUGUGGAUUCAAAUCCUGGCUUGGCCACUUUCUAGUUGUGUGACUUGGUGCAUCUGCCCUCAUCUCCUCAGAGACAAAAAUGGCAACACCUCCCUUCUUGGGUUACUAUGAGGAUUAAAUAACAAAACCUCCAAGAAGCAGAGCCCGGUGUCUGGAGAGUGCUCAAUGGACGUAGUUAUUAUUAUCAUCAUCAGCACAGUGCGGGGCACAUGGUGGGCAUUCAGGGAUGAUGGCCCUUGUGUCACAGCCGACACUCUUGACCAGUGAGUCCUCUCUCCUCCCUUUGUUGACUCCUGACCGUCCACAAAUGAGGUUCAGAAUCCUCCAUCCAGCAUCUUCCCUGGUCACAUGGUCCCAACCUUUUGCUCCACCCCCUUCUCUGUUCCCCCCGCAGUCCAUGCUCCAGCCAUCCUGACUCUGUCCCUGGAUUUCUGGCUUACUGACACCUGAGCCUGUGCACAGGCCCUCCCUUCUGUAUAGAGCACGCUUCCCAUCUUGUGGACUUGCUUCCCAUCUUGUGGACUCGGAGGGUUCCGAGCAGCCGUUGAGGCUGAGCUCCUAUGACACCUCCUCCGUGAAGCCUCCCUCACUUUUCCAUUACCAGUGAGGCCUGCCACAGCCUGAUUUGUACUCUGAUCCUGGCACGCAUGAAGCCGUGUUGCCAUUUGUUAACAGUCUGUCCUCCACUAGACUGUGAACUCCACCAGGGGGGGAACCAGGUCUGAUUGCCUCUGUGUCCCCAGAUACCACUUAGCACAGAGUCGAGCCCAUAGUGGCUAUCAGCAAGUGCUAGGCCCAGCCUGCCACCCACCCACCACUCACUUGGGGGCUGGAGGCAUUGCACGCAUGCGGGGCAUGUGGGACUUGUGGGGGCAGCUGAGCAGCGAGGUUUAUAGAGGAACCCAGGGCGGCAGCAGGAAGGAUGAAGGAUGAGUGUCUGAAACUGGGUUGGCAGGCUCAGGGCAUAGCCAGCCUAAGCUGGGGGUCAAAGGCCCCUGGCCCCUUCACUCCCCCAGGGGCACACAGUGUCGGCGGCACGAUGUGGGAUGCCCCAGGAAGGGCAAGGCCAUGGGGCUGGGCUUUCCUCCAUCGACCCAGGACAGAGCUGGUGCUGAAGGCCCCAUCAGCAUGACUGGGGUGGAGAUCUUGGGGACCUCCUUGGGGGGCCACAGUUGGGGGGAAGGGCACAGCCCAUCCAACAUGUCCAUCUGGUGUGGCUGUGCCAGCAGGGAGUGUCCCACAUGCAGAGCUCCCUCUGGGCUGCAGGAGGUGGGGACCUGGGUGGGCAGGUGGGCACAGCAGCAGGGGGCCCCAGGGAGCCUAAUCCAGCGGGCCCUGGAAAAUGAGGCGGACGCAGCCAUGCUCGCCGGUAAGCCAGGCCCCGCAAAAGGGGCAGGCGGCAUGGAAAGCAUGGGUGCCGUGGGGCAGUGGUGUCUGGGCCCAGUAGCGGGCAGUCUUCUCAGAGCAGACGUGGCCGCAAGGUGCAAAGGCAUGGCUAGGCGGCCCAGGGUCCAGGCAGAGGCCGGCCUCCUGGCCAAGCCAUAGAGGCACAUAAGGCCCCACAAGGCGGCAGAGAGGACAUUCGCGCUCCUGGGGGCCCCGCUCCCGCCGGCAGCCCCAGCCGUGGUAGCCAUGGACGUGCCCGCAGCGGACGUAGACCCAGGGCUGCUGUUUGUCGGGCGCUGUGCGGCCACGGGCUGGGCUGGGGAAGGCCAGAGUGCUGAGGCCCACGGGGCACUGGGGCCGCGCUGCAUUUGCCUCCUGCCGCUGGGCCUCCAGUUGCUUCAGUGUGGGAGCCCGCAGCAGCCCCGCCGGUGUGCGCCACAGCAGUGUGGCCCCACACAGGUCGAUGAGAGAGCCGUCCUGCAGCACGUUGGACUCGUUUUCCACCUGCCAGAGGCAGUAGAAGGGCCUUACUGCCCAAGAGGCCCCUGCUGAGCCGCGGGUCCAUCCCACAGAGCCUCCCUGGAGAGGACACCCUGGCGGGCAGGGCAGGCAGGGCAGAGGAGCAAGGCAGGCUAGGAGGCCAAGUGGGCAGGCAGGUGCAUCCCAGGCACAUGCUGAUCCCCCCUCCCAACGGGGCAUGGGCCUUGGUUUCCCCAUCUGUCUAAUCAGGAAGUCUGACCCAGACAGGGUUUUUCUAAAAUAAGAUGUUUUCUGAAGUGCCCUCCUCCUGACAGAGGCAGGAAAGGCCUCUAAUGAGGAAUGCUGGGUACUUAGCUCAAAGCUAACGGGGAAUGCUGGGUACUUAGCCCAAAGCAGCUGUCCCAGUAGUUACAGUUAAAAGCAAAAACUCAGGAGCUAGGCUGCCCAGGCUGAAUUCUGGCCUCACCGUUGACUAACUGUGUCCCUUGUCGAGUAACUUAACCUCUCUCCAUCUCAGUUUCCUCAUCCUCAAGAUGGACUGCACCUUCUGGCAUCUCAAGUGGUUCUUGUGAAGAUUAAAUGAAUCCAUCAGGCCGGGUGCGGUGGCUCACGCCUGUAAUCCCAGCACUUUGGGAGGCCGAGACGAGCGCAUCACCUGAGGUCAGGAGUUCCAGACCAGCCUGGCCAACAAGGUGAAACCCCAUCUCUACUAAAAAUACAAAAAGUUAGCCAGGUGUGGUGGCUCAUGCUUGUAGUCCCAGCUACGUGGGAGGCUGAGGCAGGCGAAUCACUUGAACCCAGGAGGCGGAGGUUGCAGUGAGCCAAGAUUGUGCCAUUGCACUCCAGCCUGGGGGAUAGAGUGAGACUCCAUCUCAAAAAAAAUAAAUAAAUAAAUAAAUAAAUGGAUCAAUCAGUUUAAAAACUUAGAACAGUGCGUGGCAAAUAGUGCUCAAGAAGAGUAGGCUUGUGAAACAUUCACAUGCAUUGUUUUAACAAACAAUGCUUCCCCAGACCUCCCCACAGAGUUGACGCUCUGGAAAGAAAAGCCAGGCUUUUCUCUGAGGUUUUGCAUCUCCUUGGCCAAUGUGCUCAUGCCAGAGAAGAGCAGUGCAUGGCCAGUUUGAGGAGCACGGCCAUGUGACCUUGGACAGCCCCUGCCUCUCUCUAGGACUCACUCCCGGUCCCUAACCUCAGCUCUCUGAUCUGUACCACAAGGAGCUGCCACUAACACCUGUGUCAGAACUACUGUAAGGACCCUUUCCUCCUGCGAGAGGAGAACAGUGCUAAACCUGUCUGAACGUGAUAGACAUGCUACAAACUGCCAACCCUUUAGGCUAUAAACUGCUCACACAUGGGCCAAGUGUCACUCUCAUAAGAAGGUGUGAUUUUUUUUAAGCUGCCAGCAGCCUUGAAGCCACCUGGGACUGCACAGUAUGUCUGUGUGUGCCUUGAUCGCAUCACCCCCUGGACCUCCAGUGGUAUGCAUGCUAUGCUUGGGGACCCUGGUCUGUCUGCCUGUCUGUGGGACAAGUGGCUCAUGCUAAGAACCCCCUGGGCCUGGGAUUCCCUGAUAUGGAGCCUGUUGGGGCUCCCUGGGGCAGAAGGACUGGAGAUCAUCUCCUGGCUUGGGCAGGGGGAUGGGCAGCUUGUGAGGGCCUGGCAAGGAUAGGGGUGGGGAAUGGAGCGGGCCACCUACCAGCUUGCCCCGCUGCUGGGCUGAGCGGCUGUCCCGCAAUGUGUACACAUUCCCACAGACCGAGAUCUCCCGCCAGACACCCGGGGCUGAGUCCUCGGAGAAGCCGCCUGCCGGGUGCAUCACCAGGACUCCAUUGGUGGUCAGUCCAUCCAUCAGGCCAUCUGGGGUCCGCCAUUUGGCCGCUCGCUCCUGGGACCACAUGAGGGAUCAGAUCACAUCCCCCAGGGGCCCCCCAGCAGGCCAUGUGCCAGAGGCACUGCCCCCGCUACCUUCAAGUUCAGAGGCGGCCCAGAGAGGACUGGCAUUGAAGCUGCAUGACUUGAGCGUCUCUCUGGGCCUCACUUUGCUCAUCAGUUAGGUGGGGUUGCUAACUGCCAGGACCACCAUUUGGAUUACUGUGGGCUGGUUCAUCACCUCAAGAUGCUGCACCUCCCAAGCCUACCCCUUGCCUCACAGAUGAAGAGUUGGUCCCUUCCUGGGGCUCACUCACUCCAAGGAAGAUGUUGCUAGAGGCAUCGAAGCCAGCGGCAUAGAUGCGGGCAGUAUAGGGUGGCCGGCGGUCACAGAGGAUGCGGCAGGCAUAGCGGGAGAUGGUGCUCUGGGCAGAAGGGCCCUCGGCAGCCCCUCCUCCAGGGGACGUGUCUGUUACCACGAAGUCAAUCAUGUUCUCUGUGGAGCGGCCAAUCUGUGAGGACAGGGAGAGCAAGCAGGGACUGUAUGUACAUAGGGGACUCUCAUGGGCCUUCCCUCCCAGAGUACCAGCAGCUGCUCUGUAUGCAAGGUCACCAAAAAAGGAGGCUGCCAGGCCCUGGAGAAGGGGCAGCACCAACUCCAUAGGCCCUCUAGGCUCCCAGGUGGGGUCUCCAAGUCCAAGAAGCCGUGGCCUGGAGCAGCUUCUCCUUCUCUGUUGCCCCCACAGCACUAGGGAUCGCCCCAUUCAAUAAAUACAAGUUGAUUUGCUGAUAUAAUUAUAAGAGGGUGCUCAAAUGUUAGCAGCAGAUAGUGACUUCUAAGUAACUAUUUGCUAUAUGCCAGCCACCAUGCUAAACAUUUUAUAUGCAAUGCCUAAGUUAAUCUUCCCGUGGGGUGGGUACUAUUAUGGGCCUCAUUUUACAGAUGAGUAAACCAAGGCCCAGAGAACUUAAGUGAUGCUUCCCCAAAGUCACCCAGUGGUAAGUGAUGGAGCCAAAAUCUGAACCCAGGCACUAGGCCUCUCACACCUGAACUCCUGAGCUGUGUGACCUCCCACAGUCUAGGAGUCUUGAAUUUGAUCCUUGAUAUAGCCACUGACUUGCUGUGUGACUCUGCAGUCAACAGCCCACACCGGGACAUCCUGCUUCCUCGUCUGGAGAGAAGCAGCUUUCCCAUGGCCUCCCAACCCGUAGCCUCACCUGAAAUGCUUGCAGAGCCUAGAGGCCUGGUGGCCAGGAGGUGUGUGGAGAGGCCUGAGCAUACCUGGAACAUGUCUGUGUCGCUAUCAUGUGUAUACUCCACUAUGACCGAGUGGCUCCGGGACAGUGUAUACGAGAUGCUGUGCUGACCACGGUUACUCAGUGCCUGGUGGGGAGAAAAAAGUCACUUGCCAGGGUGUGCAGCCAUGAUAAGUGUAUGCCUUGAGCAAGCACCUGGAGCUCAAGGCCCAGCAGCCACUCCCUGGGAAGGGGGCAGCUCCAUCCUUCUCAGAGGGUGGACAGUGCAGCAGAUGUUUCACAUGAUUUAAGCCCUACAGUCACCCUAAGGAUGGGGUUAUCAGGCUGGGUGCGGUGGCUCACGCCUGUAAUCCCAGCAUUUUGGGAGGCUGAGGUGGGCGGAUCACUUGAGGUCAGGAGUUCAAGACUGGCCUGGCCAACAUAGUGAAAUCCCGUCUCUACUAAAAA
rnacentral:lncRNA from 1 species